rnacentral:rRNA from 1 species
AGUGAACGCUGGCGGUAGGCCUAACACAUGCAAGUCGAACGGCAGCACGGUAAGAGCUUGCUCUUACGGGUGGCGAGUGGCGGACGGGUGAGGAAUACAUCGGAAUCUACUUUUUCGUGGGGGAUAACGUAGGGAAACUUACGCUAAUACCGCAUACGACCUACGGGUGAAAGCAGGGGAUCUUCGGACCUUGCGCGAUUGAAUGAGCCGAUGUCGGAUUAGCUAGUUGGCGGGGUAAAGGCCCACCAAGGCGACGAUCCGUAGCUGGUCUGAGAGGAUGAUCAGCCACACUGGAACUGAGACACGGUCCAGACUCCUACGGGAGGCAGCAGUGGGGAAUAUUGGACAAUGGGCGCAAGCCUGAUCCAGCCAUACCGCGUGGGUGAAGAAGGCCUUCGGGUUGUAAAGCCCUUUUGUUGGGAAAGAAAAGCAGUAGGUUAAUACCCCGCUGUUCUGACGGUACCCAAAGAAUAAGCACCGGCUAACUUCGUG